rnacentral:lncRNA from 1 species
CAGCCUUUUUACUUUCAGGACCUACUUUCAUUUAUAGGUAGCACAUCAUGGCUGUUGCAAAGUGCUACCCUGGAGUGGUUACCCCGAGCAAGAUCUCCAGUGUGUGUGGCUGGUUGCUGCCCUUGAACCCUCAUGGAGGAUGUAGGGGGUCUCAAUUCCCUUGGGCUACUUGGAGUGAAGAAGUGAGGUACUGGCAGAGGAGUCCAUAGUAUGUCUCCAGAAAGCCCUAAAUCAUCUUCAGAAAAUAUGGGAAUAGAUUGGGAUUCCAGAGGACCAGAAAUGUUGUUAUGAAAAACUGAGGUUGUAAAGAAGCAUAUCAAGGGUGUCCUGGAUAUGAUGGUUGCUGAAUAAGAGAGCCUGAGGAGAGGCUUAUCAAAAACAUAUCCAUCUGUCCAAAAGAUCUGAACACCUGUGCGGUGAGUUACAUUGAUUUCAGGAGGAGGGAGAAUCAACUAGAAAAAGAUUUGCAUGCUCAGGUAGAAUUGAAAUGAAAAAAAAAAAAAGGAAAAAGGAGAGAAAACAGGAACUGAAGUCACUUCAAGAACAAGAUCAAGAAUUGUGUGGGGCUGGAGCAGUAGCUCAGUGGCAGAGUGCUCACCUAGCAUGCAUAGGGCACUGGGUUUGAUCCUCAGCACCACAUAAAACAUAACAUAAAGGUAUUGUGUCCAUCUACAACUAAAAAAAAAAAUUGUGUGAAAUUCUUUGCAUGCCCCACUAUGACAUUGACAGCAUUUCUGUUCCCAGCUCAGAAGAGCUGAACCAGGUCAGACAAUAUGUGAC